AUGACAUCCCUUCAAGUCAUAGACUUUAGUGGGAACAAUCUUGUCGGUCUGAUACCAAACAAAUUAGAUAAUCUGUGCAAUUUGACUAGAAUGAGGUUCAGCUGUAUCAACUCUGGUUCGAGCAUAGCGGAGUUCAUGGAGCGUUGCCAAAGUGCACAUGGAAUACAUUGCAAGAAUUGUCAGUGCAGGGUGCAAAUAUGA
rnacentral:rRNA from 1 species